UACGGAGGGUGCGAGCGUUGUCCGGAAUCAUUGGGCGUAAAGGGCGCGUAGGUGGCCCGGUCAGUCUUUGGUGAAAGCGCGGGGCUCAACCCUGCGUCGGCCAGGGAUACUGCCGCGGCUGGAGCACUGUAGAGGCAGGCGGAAUUCCGGGUGUAGCGGUGGAAUGCGUAGAGAUCCGGAAGAACACCGGUGGCGAAGGCGGCCUGCUGGGCAGUUUUGCUGACACUGAGGCGCGACAGCGUGGGGAGCAAACAGG
rnacentral:rRNA from 1 species